AUUGAACGCUGGCGGCAGGCCUAACACAUGCAAGUCGAACGAGUGGCGGACGGGUGAGUAAUGUCUGGGAAACUGCCCGAUGGAGGGGGAUAACUACUGGAAACGGUAGCUAAUACCGCAUACCAUCGGAUGUGCCCAGAUGGGAUUAGCUAGUAGGUGGGGUAACGGCUCACCUAGGCGACGAUCCCUAGCUGGUCUGAGAGGAUGACCAGCCACAAUGGAACUGAGAACCGGUCCAGACUCCUACGGGAGGAAGCAGUGGGGAAUAUUGCACAAUGGGCGGAAGCCUGAUUCAGCCAUGCCGGGUGUAUGAAGAAGGCCUUCGGGUUGUAAAGUACUUUCAGCGAGGAGGCGGUACUCGCAGAAGAAGCACCUGCUAACUCCGUGCCAGCCGCCGCGGUAAUAC
rnacentral:rRNA from 1 species